GAUGAACGCUGGCGGCGUGCCUAAUACAUGCAAGUCGAGCGAACAGACGAGAAGCUUGCUCCUCUGAUGUUAGCGGCGGACGGGUGAGUAACACGUGGAUAACCUACCUAUAAGACUGGGAUAACUUCGGGAAACCGGAGCUAAUACCGGAUAAUAUUUUGAACCGCAUGGUUCAAUAGUGAAAGACGGUCUUGCUGUCACUUAUAGAUGGAUCCGCGCUGCAUUAGCUAGUUGGUAAGGUAACGGCUUACCAAGGCAACGAUGCGUAGCCGACCUGAGAGGGUGAUCGGCCACACUGGAACUGAGACACGGUCCAGACUCCUACGGGAGGCAGCAGUAGGGAAUCUUCCGCAAUGGGCGAAAGCCUGACGGAGCAACGCCGCGUGAGUGAUGAAGGUCUUCGGAUCGUAAAACUCUGUUAUUAGGGAAGAACAAAUGUGUAAGUAACUGUGCACAUCUUGACGGUACCUAAUCAGAAAGCCACGGCUAACUACGUG
rnacentral:rRNA from 1 species